CAUGGGGAAUCUUCAGCAAGGGGAUAAGCCCCCCCAGUCGUCAUGGGGAAUUUUCCGCAAUGGGCGAAAGCCUGACGGAGCAACGCCGCGUGAGGGAAGAAGGCCUUUGGGUUGUAAACCUCUUUUCUCAGGGAAGAAGCUCUGACGGUACCUGAGGAAUCAGCCUCGGCUAACUCCGUGCCAGCAGCCGCGGUAAUACGGAGGAGGCAAGCGUUAUCCGGAAUUAUUGGGCGUAAAGCGUUCGUAGGCGGCCGUUCAAGUCUGCUGUCAAAGUCCGAGGCUCAACUUCGGGAAGGCAGUGGAAACUGGACAGCUAGAGGUCGGAAGGGGCAGAGGGAAUUCCCAGUGUAGCGGUGAAAUGCGUAGAUAUUGGGAAGAACACCGGUGGCGAAAGCGCUCUGCUGGGCCGAACCUGACGCUGAGGGACGAAAGCUAGGGGAGCGAAAGGGAUUAGAU
rnacentral:rRNA from 1 species